GGGGAAUAUUGGACAAUGGGCGAAAGCCUGAUCCAGCCAUGCCGCGUGAGUGAUGAAGGCCUUAGGGUUGUAAAGCUCUUUUAUCCGGGAAGAUAAUGACUGUACCGGAAGAAUAAGCCCCGGCUAACUUCGUGCCAGCAGCCGCGGUAAUACGAAGGGGGCUAGCGUUGCUCGGAAUCACUGGGCGUAAAGGGCGCGUAGGCGGCCGAUCAAGUCAGAGGUGAAAGCCCCAGGCUCAACCUGGGAAUUGCCUUUGAUACUGGUUGGCUAGAGACCGGAAGAGGUUAGUGGAACUGCGAGUGUAGAGGUGAAAUUCGUAGAUAUUCGCAAGAACACCAGUGGCGAAGGCGGCUAACUGGUCCGGUUCUGACGCUGAGGCGCGAAAGCGUGGGGAGCAAA
rnacentral:rRNA from 1 species